rnacentral:rRNA from 1 species
GACGAACGCUGGCGGCGCGCUUAAUACAUGCAAGUCGAGCGAGAACCAGGGCUUCGGCCCUGGGGACAGCGGCGAACGGGUGAGUAACACGUGGGUAAUCAACCCCCGACACCGGGAUAGCCCAGGGAAACUUGGAUUAAUACCGGAUGCCCCAUCUGGCUUUCGAGCCGGCUGGAAAAGGGUAGCUUCGGCCUCCGGUCGGGGACGAGCCCGCGGGGGAUUAGCUUGGUGGUGAGGUAAAGGCUCACCAAGGCGACGAUCCGUAGCUGGUCUGAGAGAACGAUCAGCCACACUGGGACUGAGACACGGCCCAGACUCCUACGGGAGGCAGCAGUAGGGAAUCUUGCGCAAUGGGCGAAAGCCUGACGCAGCGACGCCGCGUGAGGGAAGAAGGCCUUCGGGUUGUAAACCUCUUUCAGGAGGGACGAAGCCACUCGGGUUAAUAGCCUAGAGGGUGACGGUACCUCCAGAAGAAGCCCCGGCUAACUACGUGCCAGCCGCCGCGGUAA